ACCCUAUUAAAUUAUAAGGGCUUGGUAUUAGGUUUUUAUUUCUCCCCUUUCUAAAUUUUAGACUGAAAGACUGAAAGAACUUUACUGAUGCAUAUUGCACCGCAUGUUUUCCACUUGUUCUAAUGGUUGCCCGUCGGACAGAGCUGAAAAUAUUUACAAGUGUUCGAACACUGGCCCUGACGAUGCGUUCCAGGUGACAUCAGCGUAAAUACCGCCUGGCCGGAGGGGAGGAUCCAACGCUCACGUCGCGUUGUGUGCAGCCUUUCAUGAAACCAGGGUAUCAAGAAAAGCUGGAAAGCUGUCAAAUAGUUGGACUUCAAUUCCUGGCUAAAUUUCAAGGGAACAGGAAUCCUGAACUAGUAUACGUGACUGACAAAGAAGUAGGUAAGGUCUCCAAAACCUUUCUCCUCACUUGCAGUUCCUGCUAGCAUUUUCCCUGUUUGCUACAGCUGGGAAAAGAGCUUCAGCAUUCAAAUAAGGAGUUAACAUUUAUUCUUGCUUCAUGUAGGACCUUUCAUACAAAAGAGUAUCUCUUUCUGCCCUCCUAUGGCAAUGUUUAUCGGGGUAACUUUGUAUCAGGUAAUGUUGUAAUGCAAUAGCUGUGUUUAUCUUGUAUAACAAAGUAGGAAAUUGGACCUAGAAGGUCAUUUGUAAGCAGCGCUGUGUAUUCCUGGGUGUCUCUAUCUAUUGUGUCUUAACGCUGUAGGAGGAAAAACUGUUAUUUGGGAA
rnacentral:lncRNA from 1 species